rnacentral:lncRNA from 1 species
CCGUACUCUCUGAAAAACAAUGGAGGACAUGCGGAAGAGGCCCGGAGCUGACGUCACGACCGACGACGCGUCGUCCUCGUCCUCCGCGAAGAGGCGGCGAGAUCAGGCCGAAGGAGGCGGUGGCAUUUCGGUUGCUCCUCCGGUAGCGAACGACGUCGUCGUUGCGGACAGAGGCGACGUUUCGGUUACUCCGGCAGUGAACGACGUCGUUGCGGACAACGGCGACAUUUUGGCUCCUCCGGCAGUGAACGGCGUCGUUGCGGACAGUGGAGACGCUUCGGUUCCUCCGGCCGCGAACGACGUCGUUGUGGAAAACAGCGACAUUUCGGUUCCUCCGGCAAUGAACGGAGUCGUUGCGGUUCCUCCGGCAGUGAACGACGUCGUUGCGGUUCCUCCGGCAGUGAACGACGUCGUUGCGGUUCCUCCGGCAGUGAACGACGUCGUUGCGGAGAGCGGCGACGAGACGGCGAGCGAGCUCUCGAGGCUUCUGGAGACGGACUACCUGUCGCGAAACUCGGUCGCUGCUCCGGCGAGAUUGACGUUCUCGGAGCACCCGUCCAGGUCGCCGAAGCUGUUCCAGACGAUGUCGACUUCGUACAUCACGAUAAACGGGAACGAGGAGAGUUGCGGCUCGUCGUUCUCGGACGCCGAGUCGUCGGUGAUGGCGAGCGUGGACAGGACCGGGCGCGACGUGGAGCAGGUGAGGCUGGACUACGAGUGGUACGCGGCGGAGAGAUGGGCGGAGGGGCACGGCGAGUCGGGAUUCGACGACCGCGCGUGGGAUGCUGCCGAUCAGUCGGCGCGUGAAAGAAUGGUGCUCAACUUGGACUUGAAUUCGGAGUGGGACGACGCCGCGCUGGCCAGGUUUGUAGGUGAAGACCUCAAUUGACAGCUAGCUCAGUUUUCCGGUACCGAUUAAUUUCUUUAGUGUUAAUUUUUGGGAUUGUGAUCUCAAUUUGGUGGUCAUGGCGGUAGAGCUGUACACAGUGGUAAACACAGUCUAGUUUAGUCUAAUCUAAGCUAGAAUUUAAAUUUUAAUUACAAAAGAUUUAGGAUACACAGAGAUGAUGAAGAAGAUGGUGAUGAUUGGUCUAUUAUGGAAAUUGGGGGUUAAAAGUGCAUGUGGGAAGAGUGAAUUAGCAAUUAGGCAGGUGCUAAUUGUGACCAAAAACUUGGAAAAGGAGUAUGUUUUCGUUGCCGUUGCCUAAAUUUCUCUGCAGCCCCUUUUUGAUUUGCUUAAUUAAUUGUUUAGAGGUUGCUAUACUUUUAAUUAGUCGUUAAUAUAUUGUUUAAUUCUUGGGAGACUCCGACUGUGAGUCUGUGACCCGAAUGAAAUGAGUGCAUGGAGUUUGGUCAUGGUUGUUUGUACACCAUUGACCGGCC